UAAUUCCUCCCCAUAUCCACUCGUCGCGCAAACGAAGAAGAGAGCGUCUCUCCCGGUCUCCCCUCCCCCACCACCAACGAAACACUCGGGCCGGAGCAGCAACUUCUCGAAGUCAGCAACGAAACAAUUCCCGCUCCAAUUCUGGGGGCAUGGGCUCCAACGGCCACCCGCUGGCGGCGAGCGUCGCCGCGCAGAACGGGUCCCACUCCGGCGGCGGCGGCGGCGGAGGGGGCGCGAACCCUAGCAACGGCGGCACGGCGGCGGCGCUCCGGCACGACCCGGGCCUGGCGCGGGAGUGGUCGCCGGAGGAGCAGGCCACCCUCGACGAGCUGCUCGCCAAGUAUGCAUCUGAUGCGCCUGUCAUUCGUUAUGCAAAGAUAGCCAUGAAAUUGCCAGAGAAAACAGUUCGGGAUGUAGCCUUGCGCUGCAGAUGGAUGAAUAAAAAAGAGAGUGGCAAAAGAAAGAAAGAUGACCACAACUCGUCUAAGAAAAGCAAGGACAAAAAGGAGAAGGUUUCAGAUUCUUCAUCCAAACCACCUGUACACAUGGCCGGUAGGCCUAACGUUGCUCCAUACCCUCUCCCAGUUCUUCCCAUGGACGAUGAUGAAAUCUCAGCCAAAGCUAUUGGAGGCCCAACAGGAGAAAUCCUUGAGACUAUUGCGCAUGUUUUGAGUCAAAUCUCGACAAAUCUUACCAAUAUGCAGAUACAAGAUAACAUCUCACUGUUGUGCCAAACGCGGGAUAACAUACUCAGGGUCUUGAAAGAUCCAUAAUUAGGUCUUCGACUCUUGACAACUGACGGAUGUUCUAUGUAAAUCGAUCUGCUAGUCCUUGUUACUACUGCUGUACUUACAACCAUGAAUAGGAUAAAUGAUGCUCCAGAGAUCAUGAAGCAGAUGCCGCCGCUACCCGUGAAGAUAAACGAGGACCUCGUCAACUCAAUCCUCCCCAGGCCGACUGUACCUAUGCAGUAGCAAUAGCGAAACAAAUGUAUCCUCUGUAGUCCCAGGAGUUGUUUAGAUAGCAAUAGCUGAAAUAAAAAUGCCAGCCCUGGUGCUUGUUCGUCCCCUCUGUAGCUCCAUCCUCUCACACCUCCCGCUUCCUUCUGCUUGUUCAGUCUGGAUGCUGAUCUCCCAACCGUCCCGAAGUCAGGCGGUUGGAACGUGUACCUAGUUACCAAGGGCUGCUUCUAUACAGCAGUAUCAGGUUCCGACUCUGGCAUGUUUUGUAAUCUAUAGCUGUUCUCGUAAUGUCAUGGAACCGGAGUAGCCUUUAGCUUGAAAUGCUCUGCAGUUUGCUGUC